rnacentral:rRNA from 1 species
GAUGAACGCUGACAGAAUGCUUAACACAUGCAAGUCAACUUGAACUUCGGUUUGGGUGGCGGACGGGUGAGUAACGCGUAAAGAACUUGCCUCACAGUUAGGGACAACAUUUGGAAACGAAUGCUAAUACCUGAUAUUAUGAUUUUAGGGCAUCCUAGAAUUAUGAAAGCUAUAUGCGCUGUGAGAGAGCUUUGCGUCCCAUUAGCUAGUUGGAGAGGUAACGGCUCACCAAGGCGAUGAUGGGUAGCCGGCCUGGGAGGGUGAACGGCCACAAGGGGACUGAGACACGGCCCUUACUCCUACGGGAGGCAGCAGUGGGGAAUAUUGGACGAUGGACCAAGAGUCUGAUGCAGCAAUUCUGUGUGCACGAUGAAGUUUUUCGGAAUGUAAAGUGCUUUCAGUUGGGAAGAAAAAAAUGACGAUACCAACAGAAGAAGUGACGGCUAAAUACGUG